ACCGGCGGCUCGAGUGGUGGCCACUAUUACUGGGCUUAAAGCGUUCGUAGCUGGCUUGUUAAGUCUCUGGGGAAAUCUUCCGGCUCAACCGGAAGGCGUCUCAGGGAUACUGGCAGGCUAGGGACCGGAAGAGGUGAGAGGUACUCCAGGGGUAGGAGUGAACUCCGGUGGUCCUUGGGGGAACACCUGUGGCGAGGGCGUGUCACCAGGACUGCUCCGACAGUGAGGAACGAAAGCUGGGGUAGCAAACCG
rnacentral:rRNA from 1 species